rnacentral:tRNA from 1 species
GGCUCUGUGGCGCAAUGGAUAGCGCGUUGGACUUCUAAUUCAAAGGUUGUCGGUUCGAGUCCCACCAGAGUCGA